rnacentral:rRNA from 1 species
UAAUUGAAGAGUUUGAUCAUGGCUCAGAUUGAACGCUGGCGGCAGGCCUAACACAUGCAAGUCGAGCGGUAACAGGGGAAGCUUGC